rnacentral:rRNA from 1 species
AGAGAGAGACAUGCGCGCAUAUCAAUAAGCGGAGGAAAAGAAACUAGCUAGGAUUCCCUCAGUAACGGCGAGUGAAGCGGGAAGAGCUCAAAUUUGAAAUCUUCAAGGUUCUACCUUGACGAAUUGUAGUUUAAAGAAGUGUAUUCUGUUGGAGUUUUGGUAAAAGUUCUUUGGAAUAGGACAUCAUAGAGGGUGAGAAUCCCGUAUUUGACCUUUACUUUCAACUUUGUGAUACACUUUCAAAGAGUCGGAUUGUUUGGGAAUGCAGUCCAAAAUGGGUGGUAAAUUUCAUCUAAAGCUAAAUAUUGGCGAGAGACCGAUAGCGAACAAGUACCGUGAGGGAAAGAUGAAAAGAACUUUGAAAAGAGAGUUAAACAGUACGUGAAAUUGUCAAAAGGGAAGCGUUUGACACCAGUGUUGUCUUCUCGAAAAUCAAUUAAAAAAGGCAGGAUUUUGUGUUGUAUUGACUUUAUCAGCUUUCUGCACUCUUUUCUUGUCUUUUUUAAUGCACUUUUCGUUUAACAAGUCAACAUCAAUUUCUUUUGUUGUAAAAGGGUCAUUGGAAGGUGGCUUUCUUUUCGGAGAAAGUGUUUAUAGCCUUUGGCCUCUGCAAUCGGAGAGAUUGAGGUCUGCAGCGUAGAUCCUUCGGGGUUAGAUACAUUUGUGCUAAGUUAUAGCCUUUCAUAGACAACUUGUUGACUAUGAUCAGUCAUGUAGCUUACUCGCUUAUGCUAUUUUACCUACGCUUAGGAUGUUGAUGUGAUACUGCGAGCA